rnacentral:rRNA from 1 species
AUGGUGCUCUUUGGUUUACUAGUAAGUGUGCACGUGCAUUGCGUGUCUUCACUAAUAUUUCAGGUAGAUGCGAGAAUUUACUUCUCCAUCAUAGUAAACACUUGUUUUUUUAAAGAACAUAAUCUACAUAAAUUCACUUUGGCACAUGAAAGCAUAUGCUCUUGCCAUCGGAAAAACAUUUUAAAAUGUCAAAAAAAUUCUGAACAAAAAUUUGAUGUGUACCUUUUAAUAUUCUAUGUGCGCACGCCAAGUUUUUGUGGAAAACCGGCAUUUUCUGUGACUUGCGUAAAAAAGACAAAGAAAUGUCGUGAAAAGCCAUUUUUAACACUGAAUUUUGUCUUUUUCACACGCGACAUAAAAGCUGUUUUUUUCGUAAAACGACUUUGCGAGCACAUAGAAUGUCGAGGUGUACGCGCAAAACAUUUUGCCAGAAUUUUAUGA